GGCAAUGUGGUUCAGUGGUAGAGUGCUUGCCUAGCAUGCAUGAAGCCCUGGGUUCGAUUCCUCAGUACCA
rnacentral:tRNA from 1 species